rnacentral:lncRNA from 1 species
CAAAGUGAAGUUUGUAAAACAUCAAAGUAGCUACACGGUGCUGGAUCAGGUCCUGGGUACUACAACAUCUUAGUAGCCAUUACAUUUUAUGUUUUUAUGAUAACAAUAAACGUAGCCUAGAAUAUUAAGAAUUCCUGGUCUUGGACCCACACAUUAUUGGGGCACCUAGUAUAGAAACUGAGUUCUGAAUAGCACUUUAAAUUAACACCGUACAUGUAAAUAUUAACAGUCCCCAGGUAGCAUUUAUUGUUACUUCUCAAUUAAUACACUUUAUUUUACCCUGAGCAUUAUGAUGUUUUGCUAUUAUUGGCAGGUUCAAGAAGAUGCUAGGAACUUGCCAUCCCUUUCCUCCAUCAAGCCGUUUAAACCUCCUGAAAUGUACCUGUGAUCCUUUGCUUCUGUUGAUUUGAUAGCAUGAGAAGAAUGGAUUUGAAAGGCGAUAAUGGAAAGGAUGCAGAGGCACCAAUUUGGAAUUUACUGUGAUGUUUUAGGCAAGAGACGGUUUUGGCAUCUUGUCUAUUAUGGCCGUGUACCACCUUCAUGUCCAGGGAAAGGAGCAAUAGUGUGCUGUGUAAGAGGCAGAUUUGCUGAGAGCUGUUCAGGUACACCUGGAAUCAUAUUCAAUUCAGGCUAAAACAGUAUAUUCCACACCAUUCACAGGUCAGUUUGUGGCAAAAAGAGCAUACCU